UAACUGUCAUCCAAAAUGUUGCCAUAGUUUACAUCAGAACAUCCCUCCAGAGUACACUGUUAUAUUAACAACAUGAAUAAGCAAUUUGACUGUCUUAUCCAUACACAGUGACACAGAGACUUGUCAUUCUGAUGGCACUGACAUGUUCAUUGACACAGAUAUUUAAUUUUUGAGAGAUGAACUAAGGAUUUUGAGCAAGAGACUGGCUUUUGCAGGUAAUCCAUGGUGUUUUGCUAUUUGUACGAGUUGUUUUGAGAAAUGCACUUACUGUUUUGCAAAUGUCAACGAUAAUUCGAGAAAUGUACCAAAACGACUGAGAAAAAAUGUAAUGACAGAAUUUUUAUCUUGUGAACUAACCCUUUAAAGGUCUCAUUUUUCAACAGUUAACUGCAAAUUUAUAAAAUAUCUUUCUAUAGCAAGAAAUUUUUGGCAACAUCUGUGUUUGCAGGCCAUUGGAAAUGCAAAAACAACCAGAAAUGACAACAGCUGUCGAUUCGCAAACUACACUGAGAUCAGCUUCGACAAAAGAUACCAAAUCAUUGGUGCCAACAUGAGGACAUACCGUUUUUGGAAAAGUCAAGGGUGCUUUUUCAGUCACAGAAUGAGAGAAAUUAUCACAUCUUCUACCAAAUGUGUGCAUGUGCAAAUCAGCUGGAGUUUAAAGGGUUAAGACUGCGCGCUGCUGCAGAAGCGCGAGGGCUCAUCUCAGCUGAUGAUGGAUUCAGUGUAUCGCUUCCAGGUCACCUUCCUCUUCUGCUCCUCUCCACAAGCUCCUACAGGUGCCCAGGGCUUUGUCACUCGCAUCUGACCUCUAACCUCCGACCUUAGUGAUAUCAGGACAAGUGGAUCAGGAUGCGUCUGUGCUGGCCUGAAUGCAUCAUGGAAACACUGCACAGUAGCCGAAUUGCUAAUAUAAACUCAUUAAUGCUAACAUUUGUAUAUUCUUAGAUUUAUUUAUAAAGAUUUGGACCGCAUGUAUUUUGAAUAACUACUUUUAGAAUAGCUUUUUUAGGAUCAGCUGUUAACAAACACCCUAAUAUAUAUUUCAAAAACGCAAACCAACCUCAAAUGUUCAGUUGGUUCAAUUUUGUAAAUCCUAAAUAAUUAUUGUCACAAAUUGGUCUUCCGUUGAAUUUUUUAUAAAUCAGAAAUCAAUAAACACAACUGCACAAAUGAGUCCUCCUCUCUU
ensembl:lncRNA